UGUGUUAAUAGAGUGAAAUGAUAAUGGUAGGUUCUCCUGACAAAAACGGUUAAACUGAGUAGGGAGUUGCCAGCCAUGUCUGUUGAACUCAAGUUCUCUCGUUCCAAUCGUAUCUAUCGCCCUUCGGAAGCUCUGGAAGGCAAAAUCGUUGUCAAAACUCACUCUUCAAUUUCCCACUAUGGAAUUCGCCUUACUGUCAAAGGAUCCGUCAACUUACAGGUUCGUGGAGGAUCAGCUGGGGUUGUUGAAUCAUUCUAUGGCGCUAUUAAGCCGAUCCCAAUUGUGAAUAGGACCAUUGAGGUUAAACCUUCUGGAAAGAUUGGUUCGGGUACAUCAGAGAUACCAUUCUCAUUGAAUCUUAGACAGCGGGAUGAAAAUUUAGAAAGAUUUUAUGAGACUUUCCAUGGUACAGAUAUUAGUAUCCAGUAUUUGGCAACUGUAGAUAUAUCUCGUGGAUACUUGCAUAAAUCAUUAUCAGCAACAACGGAGUUCAUUGUUGAAAGUGAUAAAGCUGAUCUUCUACAAAGACCACUUUCUCCAGAGAUGGUAAUCUUUUACAUUACCCAAGACACUCAAAGGCAUCCUCUACUCCCUGAAAUAAAAUCUGGUGGAUUUCGGGUGACCGGAAAAAUCUCUACUCAAUGUUCUUUGUCUGGUCCUAUUAAUGGCGAGUUAACUGUUGAAGCAUCUGCAGUUCCAAUUCAGACAAUUGACCUUCAGUUGUUUAGAGUCGAGUCCAUUCUUCUUGGGGACAAAAUUGUGACAGAAACCUCUCUGGUUCAAACAACACAGAUAGCAGAUGGAGAUGUAUGCCGGAAUCUGACAUUGCCUAUUUAUGUAAUACUACCGCGUCUUUUGACCUGUCCAACAACCUUAGCUGGGUAUGUGUCCUGUUUUCAUGAUGAUUCCUUCUCCAAUGUAUUUCACAUGAGUAAUGGUACAUCCAAAAAUAAGUCCCUUCUCAAUUGAGUUCAAAGUUGCUAUUGUCAUAAGCUUUCAGUCAGAGCUAAGUAAAUUGCACAAAAAAUCUGAUCCCAAAACACCGAGACUCUGGUUGGCAAUGGAAACAUUACCGCUUGAGUUGGUUCGGACAAAGUAAGAUGAUUUGAUUGUAUGGUUUCUCAAAACAUGACUUGACCUGAAUAUGUGAUAAAUAUGGAAAUGGAAUGUGGCUAUACUCAUGCAACAUUUUAGAUAGGUUCGAGUAAAUUGGGUAUUUGGCCUUUUGAGUUUGUUUCAUGUAAUGUAACUCAAUGUUUACACUUGCAACAUUUCAAUAUGAUUUACGGCAGUAUUCAUUCUUAUAAACA